rnacentral:rRNA from 1 species
UACAGAGGGGGCAAGCGUUGUUCGGAAUUACUGGGCGUAAAGGGCGCGUAGGCGGCCUGUUAAGUCAGACGUGAAAUCCCUCGGCUCAACCGGGGAACUGCGUCUGAUACUGGCGGGCUUGAAUUCGGGAGAGGGAUGUGGAAUUCCAGGUGUAGCGGUGAAAUGCGUAGAUAUCUGGAGGAACACCGGUGGCGAAGGCGGCAUCCUGGACCGACAUUGACGCUGAGGCGCGAAAGCGUGGGGAGCGAACAGG